CAUUUCAAUUGCUCUUCUUCUUCCUCACUAGUGGAGAAUGAGAUUUUAACCACUUCCUAGGCUUUGAAAAAAUGACUUCCAUGGUCCAGGAUAAUUAUAAGUUCUGUGAGACCCGGUUGUUUUUAAGAGAAAAAGGAAAACAAGCUUCUUUCACAGUCGUUUUAUGAAUGGGUAUUUCCGUAAAAAUUCAGGCUUUCCUAUGGACUUAAGAAACCACCAUGAGAAUCAGAAUUUUCUAUGAGAAAAAAAUUGUAAAAAGAAAUUUCCCCAUCUCCGUAAAAAUCUUCUUCUUCUUAUCCAUUCACUCACUACAUCGAUCUCUUCAAUCUCACAGAAAAACCAAAAAUUCCCAAAUCUCAAAUCCAAUUCAUUUUUUCAUCCUUCACUUUCACCAGAAAUUUCUUGACAUCAUUCGAUCUGAGAAGAAUAUAGACAAACCCUAGCCAUCAACUAAAACCCAGUAAACCAAAUCAAUCACUCUCCAUCUCCGCCUCUCUGAAUCUCUCUAAUUAAACAACAAAUAAGUAGAGGAUGUUGAUGAAGGCGGAGAAAUCGUAAGGGAUGAUUCUGCUAUCUUCUGGGGCUUCAGUAUGAAAAGAUGAUGACCACAAGUAUGGAGAUCUUGUGAAAUAAUGAAAAUGUUAUGGUGCGAAUAUCCUAGUAAGUAACGGUAGAACCUGUUCUGCAACUUGCUCAUGGAUAUAGUCUUCGAGAGCAAUGAAAAUCUCAAUCUCACCUUAAGGAAUUGUGAGCUUUUCUAGCAAGGAUCGAAGGCCAUAGGAAAGGAAUUUUGCAGACCCAUCAACUUUAGCUGACUUUGAUGUGGUAUUUGCAGGAAGCAACAAAAAACUAAAGGUGUAUUUAAUAAAGUUUUACAGUCUGACCAAGUGGGGAUUUGAUGAAUGAUGAUAGAUUGAACAAAUUUUACAUUGUUUUUGAUUGGGAUUCUAUUUGUUUCUGUGUUUAAUUUAUAGGAAGCAAAAGUUUUACAAUCUGAGGAGGUGAGGAUUUAAUGAAUGAUGAUAGAUUGAAUAAAUUUUACAUCCAGGUGAGGAUUUUUUUUGUGUUUAAUGUAUGGGAAGUGAUUGUUUUACCUCCUUGGAUUUGCACUUGUUCGUCCUGCACAUUUCUGUUCAUGAAAAUCUUAAUUCACUGUUUUACUUAACAUAAGAAAACUAGAUGUUUAGCUAAUCCAUGUAUGUAUGUUGUGUUGACCUAUGCUGCUACAAGUACUUGGGUAGUAGUUGUUCAAUAUGUGCUUUAACGCAUAAAAUAAGGUUUGGCUUGUUCGUAGUGUUGAGCCACGUUGCUCGUUGUUUGUUAACAACAAAUUAUGUUGGUAAGACCACCCAACUUCCCCAGUAUAUCUUAGAAUCUGAGAUAAAAUCUACAAAUAGAUCUGCCUGUAGUAUAAUAUGUACACAGCCUCGUCAAAUAUCUUCCAUGGAAGUUUCUGAAAGAGUUGUUGCAGAGAGGGGUGAAAAAUUGGGUGAAAUUGUUGGCUAUAAAGUUUGUUUGGAAGGUCAGAGAGGGAGGGAUACUCGCCUUCUGUUUUGCACCAUAGGCAUUUUAUCGAGGAGAUUACUGCAUGACAAAAGUUUAAAAGGUUUUACCCAUGUUAUUGUGGAUAAUAUUCAUGAACAUGGAAUGAAUGAAGUUAUCCAGACUUUUUUCUUAUCAUACCAAGGGACCUUCUUCCACGGUGUCCAGAACUGAGGCUUAUUUUGAUGAGUGCAACCUUGAAUGCAGAGCUCUUUUUGACCUACUUUGGCGGGGCACCAAUGAUUUAUAUUCCGUGACGGCCUUGGGAAAACAUCAUUAUAUGGUUGGAACACCAUUGAAGAUUUGUAAGCGCGGUAGUGACGCAGGAUCAACAUUGCCAAGUGUUGUUUGUGCAGCUCCUGCAUCUGCUGUUAUGCAUGUGCUCUUCUUGGUUUCAUAAAUAGCCUGAAUCCUAAACGGAAGAAAGAUCCACGAAUAAGUAAUCGGGUGUAAGCUUUGGUGUUUGGGGUCAUCGGGAACUUGUAAAGAAAGAUGAUGCUGGUAAUGUGAUUGUCCAGUGCAAAUCAAAUUGGUUGCAUUUCAUCACUGUUUAUUUGCAGGAAGUUAAUGGAAAGAUGAUGCUCUUGGUAAUGACGAUUGCUCAGACAACAUAAUUUGAAUCCAUUUCGUGGUUGACAUUCCAAGAGGGAGCAGGUGGAACUAAAGCUUGAUUAUAUAUGGGAACGGAUGCAGCUAUGGACCUCCCUACGAGUUUCAAUUGGCAAGUAUGCUCGCUUAGGGCUGGAGCAAUGACCUGAUUUGAGCUAGGUUGUCAAAAACUGAAGGCAUAGGUUUUAAUAAAAUAUCACCAGUAAAACCACUGCGUCCAUCAGGAUCUAUCUACAUACUGUUGAAGAAAGUCGUUUUUUUAAAGAAUUGAACGUUUGCCAGACACAAUCGUUUUGAGAAAAACCACUCCUAGAAUACUGCUGAUGGACACAGUAGUUUUUAGUGAUAUUACUUCUUUUCAUGACAGUGCUUUAACUUCCAUUUUCCACUAGUGCCUCUCCUCUUUCUCUUCAUCCUUUUCAUCGUAAAUCCAUUUGAAUUCAUUUCAUCGAACAAACCCAUGGUGUAUGUAAGGUAAUAAUCGAAAAUACCCAUCUUUGUUUACUUGUUUUUGUGCUUAAAAUAGGUUAGAUUGAAUGAAAUCGAAGUAAAAUUAGGGUUUUAGUUACUUUUUGCUAGUGUUACGUCUGGGUACGUUACUAGAUUUUUCAACUGUAAUUUAGUUUUUGAAGAACUUACGUUUAGGUUAAGUUCAAUUCAACAGUAAACUUUGAUUUGCAUGUUGUAUUACGUCUAGGUUUAGUUAAAUUCCAACCGUAAUUUUCAAUUUUACGUCUAGGUUUAGUUGGAUUCCAAUCGUAAUUUUC